AGGAUAAUAGUUAUUUAAUAACGAUUGGGUUGCAUUCAAUAAGUACCACCCCUGUGGUUUAUCUUA
rnacentral:tRNA from 1 species